rnacentral:rRNA from 1 species
UACGAAGGGGGCUAGCGUUGUUCGGAAUUACUGGGCGUAAAGCGCGCGUAGGCGGCUUUGUAAGUUAGAGGUGAAAGCCCGGGGCUCAACCCCGGAAUUGCCUUUAAGACUGCAUCGCUUGAAUCCGGGAGAGGUGAGUGGAAUUCCGAGUGUAGAGGUGAAAUUCGUAGAUAUUCGGAAGAACACCAAUAGCGAAGGCAGCUCGCUGGGACGUACUGACACUGAGGCGACGAAAG